UCGAACCCUCGCCUUUGCCCUUGCCGAGCCCUCGCCGCCGCCACACCUCAGCCCCCUCGCCGCCACGGCAGCACCUCAGCCCGCUCGCUGCCGCGUUCGCGCGUCAGCCCGCUGGACAUCCCCGCCUCCGCGGUCGCACCUCUGCCCGCUCGCUGCCCCCAUUGCAACCCAACGCCCCCCUCCAAUGGAUGCCGCCCGAACUACCUCAUCCAAUAGGACGCCGGCCGCGGCGUCACGAAGUUGCUGGCGUCGCCCAGUUCGCCGUGGGUGAAGGCGCCUCAGACGCAAGCGAAGCUGGAGCUUCCUCAACGUAUGCCUCACCAUGGGGCUCGCUGUGCUGUUGGCGGACAGCCGCGGCCCUGCUGGUGUGGUGCGAGACUUCCAGAUCACCCGACGGCUGGGGUUGGAGGAUGGCAUUCCCACAACUCCUCAUCGGGGGUGAGCGUGGCAUGGAGCAGCAAGCCCAUAGCUCCCUCAACCAUCAUGCUAAUCUCUUCUUGUUAUUCAUCCUGAAUCUAUGGUGCACAUACAGUACAUGCUUAUGUAUUGUCUCAAUGAUUAUCCUAUUUUUUUAGGAUUCAACUUGCGUUUUGUGCAAUUUCAUACACUCAAUCAAUAAAUUCUCAGUUUUUUUGGCGGGAUUUGUGUUUGUUCGGAUGCUUAGGUGCAGCUGCAUCAAGGGAAUUGGCCGACGGCGUGCAAUACAUAGACAAAGUAAAAGUCAGUAUGGAGCAAAUACGAGUUCGGUUGCUCUUCUGACAAUUUCACUUUGAUUUUGUUGUUAGUGACUGAUUGAGGCGUCACUCCCACCACGGUGGUGACGGCAACCUUGCCCCUCCAGCCGCUGUGGCCGUAGCGUACCGCUCCAACGCCAUCUGACACAACCGUCUUGUGGUGGAGGAGGGCCACCUCGAACACAUUGGGGAGGGGUGAGCGUGGGCUUCGCCACAUGUUCUGCCGAGUCAUCGAUGUCAGUUUCUAGGUUUGUGAGUGCACUGUCUGGUGCUUCUUUUUAUGAUGUCUGUCAACACAAGCACAGCGUGUUCCAAGUAUGAACUAAGAGAGUGUGCUCCCAUUGGGUUCUGCAUGUGGACACUGUGGCUGGUGAGGCAUAACUGGAAGUUUCUCUGAUGGUCGACAACAAGGAUCACUGCACAACAGGCUUUGGAGCAGGCUCUGAUUCACGGAGAACUCCCCAGCAACCUCAUCUUUUGUGGAUAUUAGAUGGAUAUUGAAUCCAGUAAGCCUCCAAUUGAUAAACAAAGUCAAUUUUCUGUUGGUAGUUUGCAUGACAGGGUUCUAGCUAAUUUAUGAUUGUGCCUACAACAGACUACCUCUGCCUGAAGAUUUGAGGUGUGACUCAAAUUUCGUGCUGUUAGAAAUCAACAAUGGAGAUUUCAGUUUUUUUUCAUGUAUAUUCGUACGGAUUUCAAGUUUAAUGAAUCAUUAAAUUUUAUUCUAUAAUCAGAUCUUGGCAUGUUUUCAGAUUUUUCAGAGAAGAAGUCUAGAGGCGUGGAUGUAUGUUUUUAGGGGGGAAUCAAGUCUGCAGAAUAUACACUAAUUUGAGGAAUUCAGAUGUUACCCAUGGUCAUACAGGGAAAGUGUGAAGCAAUCUGGCCAAUUUUCAGCAUUUCUCAUCCAAGAAGCCGUUACAUUUAUGAUCUUUUCUAUAGAAGAAGGAAGGAUAUAUCUAAGGAGCUGUAUGAAUUUUGCCUGGACCAGGAUUAUGCAGACCGUAAUCUCAUUACAAAGUGGAAAAAUGUUGCCUCAGUUUUGUAUCAUUUGAGCUAGGGGCCAAGACGGAUGAGGUUGAUUUGGCUUGAUCAUGCCAAAGAAAUUUACUUCUUUUUUGGAAAAUGAAAGAAUGUUUUAGAAGUUCAGGGUUAAGUUACCAAAUCUGAGCUUUAUAGCAAAGCAGAUGAUCAAGAAGAGCAGAGUAGGAUAAUAAAGGUUCACAUAGAUGUAGUAAUAUGUUACUAUCAGCUAGCUCAAGUAUGUAUGACUGUAGGAGCUCAGGAAUACUCUUACUAUGUCUUUGAUUUUGUUAAAGACCCAAUAUAUGAUGAGGUGCUGCCUCUCCUGAUGCCGAGCUAUUUAGAAUUUGGUAUUUCACAUUUUUUUUCUGGCCAGUAAAUUUCACAAACAUAACUGGAGGCCAUCUGCUCCUGCGCAAUGAAACUGUUUCAAAAUUCAUAUUGUGUUUGACACCCUGAACCACUUUAUUAGAUAACAGAUUAUAACUUCCACUUAUUUUUUAUGCUGGACCAUGAUGAAUCAACAAUUUAUUAGAUAAAAAAAUUAAUCCCUGGAGAAAAUCAGAGUAUUUAUCGACUAUAUAUGCUCUAUGGAUGUCGACAAAUUUGAUUGUAGGGGCUAGCAAUGCUUCAUUUCAAGCUACUGUAAUAACUCUUGCUGGUUAGUUACCUCUGAUCCUAGCAAGUGAAAUUAGAACUAAUACAUGUAUAUGAUUGUUGUUUGAGUCGCACAGAUUGGCACAUGUAUGAAUAAGUUUCAGUAUUAGAUUAGUGUACUGAUCAUGGCUAUGUUGUGGAAGAGUUCUUGCACGCAGUGUUCGAAAGUAGCAUACUUCCGUUCUCUGUAAAUUGGUACUAGAUAAAAAGGAUGUUCCAUUUUCUGUAAAUUGAUAGAAAAUGGAUGCAGGUGUGACCUUGGGGAAGAAAGAGUCGGACGACACAUAAAAGACUGUGAGGACCAGGGAUUCUUCUUUGCUGGUGGUAAGGUGGAGACCCUGCUCAGGGAACAUGUUGCGUACAUCCUCGCUGCUUUUCUUCUUUCAGUUUUAGAUACUUUCCAGCAGCGAAGCACAAACGUCCCGCGGUGCAACACACAUACUCUUUUGUUAUUGGAUAUAAUAAAUGGUGCUUAAUGAUAUUACGUUGUAUCGCCUUUUUUUGCCCG